rnacentral:rRNA from 1 species
GACGAACGCUGGCGGCGUGCCUAACACAUGCAAGUCGAACGGGGCACCUUCGGGUGCUUAGUGGCGAACGGGUGAGUAACGCGUGAGAAACCUGCCUUUCAGUGGGGGACAACAGUUGGAAACGACUGCUAAUACCGCAUAAUGUUAUCUGAGGGCAUCCUUGAAUAACCAAAGCUUAAUGUGCUGAAAGAUGGUUUCGCGUCUGAUUAGCUAGAUGGCGGGGUAACGGCCCACCAUGGCGACGAUCAGUAGCCGGUCUGAGAGGAUGAACGGCCACAUUGGGACUGAGAUACGGCCCAG